CUCAAUUAAAAAUUCCCUUCAAUUAAAAGUCCUGGAGGGUUCCUCGCCCUAGAGCUCAGGAGAGAGAAGAUACCCCGGGGGUCACAGGGGGACGCAUCUACCAGCCCACCCAAGGGGCUGGCCCGGAGCCCUCACUCCCCGGGAGGCGGAGGAAACCCACUGGCCAAUCGCCACCACCGAGGCCCAGAUCUGCUCUCUGAUUGGCUCCAGUGGUGACGCCCCCUCCGAAUUCCUGGCUCUGAUUGGUCUAUUUCCUGACUCCGACCGGGACGGUGCCCAGAGGACGAGAGGCUUCCAGACCGAACCGAGGGAUGCUGUGGGGGACGUCGGAGACGCCGUCGCACGGCGACAAACAGCCGGACUCCGAGGACACGGCGGCGGGCUCUGUGGUCUCGGGGCUGCUGCUGGCGACGGAGAGGAGCCGGCGGGGGCGCCCCCCGAGCCCGCUGCUGCCGCCGCCGAGGUUGGGUUGCUUUCUGCCUUAAUGUCAGUCAAUACUUUGGAAAUUAUCGAGAAGUUCAAAUUCUGAUGAAGAAGGAAGAAUUGACCCUUGAAAUGGUGGUGACAGAAAGAGACAUUAUCAAGAAGGAAUUUGGAUAAGGCACAAACCAAAUUUUGAUUACUACCGACUUACUG
rnacentral:lncRNA from 1 species